GUGGUCCCAGCUCAGUGGCAGAGCACUUGCCUAGCAUGUGUGAGGCACUGGAUUCGAUUCCCAGCACCACA
rnacentral:tRNA from 1 species